UCAACCACAUUCAUACCUGUCUUCCUGGUUGCAUUAGACACCAAAGCAGUUGUGCUGAAGUAGUUUUACUUGGACAGAAUAAAGGAUGUUGUAGCACUAACACUGGAUCACCUGAGAUUAAUGUUCCUUGAUUCCACUUAAAUGGCAGCGAUAAGGAAAAGAUGGAGGAGCCGGGUUUGCACGCCUGCCUUCACAUUUGACAGCAGUUCUGUCAGCCUGUCUCUUCCAUUCUCCAUCCUAAUGGUCUUCAUAUGGGAGCAGCCAAUACUGGUUACAGCAACACGCCAGUUUACAGUAAUCUGAGGGCUGACGGUUUCUCAUAAUUGCUCCCCUCCCCGCCCCCUGGCUAGGAUCUGGGGCUUUUCUUGGUGCACUUUCAUAGACUGCAAUUCCCGUUAAGUCAGAAUUCCUAGCCAGAGCACAAGCCUGAUUUAUAUGUGGCUGCUUUUUCCUCUUGGAUGUCUUCUUGUAAUUUGCUUGAUGGAUUUCUAAAUCAGUGGCAUCCAGUUUGCACCAUGAGUCAGGGAAAGUUUUUGAUUUGAAUUAACAUCUAGUACAUAAAUAAAUGGGAAUGGUUAGCGUGGGAAUACGCUUUUGGAAGCUUAUAUUUAUUCACAUCUUUGAGAGGUAAUGUUGAUUUCCUUGUGGGAAUGUUGUAAGCAUCAACACAUUGUUCAGCAGGUAAAUAGGUCAAAGUUUAUUGUAAUAAAAAGCAGUCAUGAGUUGAGUUUAGUUGCUCGCUAAGCCGUAAUUCUCACUCUGAGUAAGAAAAGCAGGCCUGUCUUGUAAAUAGUCAGAAGCCUGUUUACUGCAGUGUUUGUGACAUGCUCUGGAUUGGGUAUGUGGCUCUGUUUUAAAAUAUCAUAUCGCUUGUUAGCAGUGCUUUCAUGCAAAAGACACAAACAACCUCUCCUUGUUCAGUGGCCUUUUUCAUAGUUUAAUGAAAUACUGUUUGGAUGUUUUUUGGGGUUGAUUAACAGAUUUGUUAGUGUGUCUGUCACAACUGACCAGUGUGUCAAACAUAAAAAAGUACGAUUUACAGUGCUGUUGAAAGGUCAGAGCUCUAAGAGUGCAUGAAACCUCAAACAGCUUUGACCUUCUUGAUUGAUCGGAUCUCCAAACUGCUGCAGAGAAACGAAGCAGAGAAGAGCCAUGGAAAAUUUAAUUCAUUGUUUGUGUUUAUAGUGAAUACACACUGGGUUUGUGCUUUAAACUUGUGUGAGCAAGCUGAAACAUCCAUCCAUCCACAUGGGUGUAAAACGUGUGUUUACACUCUCAUCUGCCUCUUUUGUCUCUGGGAGCUCUGAAAGCUGUUUACAGCAUUGGCAGUGUCUCUGCAUUGUUGAUGGGAAUGGAAAGUAUGGCUCAUUCUAGAAAUGCAAUUCAGCACCUUUCCACUGAAAGUUCUCCCCCGUGGAAGCCUUCUCAUCACACAUGUUCUGCUUUUCAUUGCUUCAGAGCUGUAAAGAAGCAGGGUGAUCUGUUUUUGGGUUUGGCACAUUUGACUGGGAGAAGCUAAGUUAUUGUACCCACUCUCAGUGACCUAUGACCUUAGUCAUCAGAACCACAUGUGCUCUGUUUUCUGCCCGUUUCCCCCACUCUUUCUUCUCAUCUCCUACAUGUACUGUCUCUGUCUAAUCCAUCUACCCAUCUCUGCCCUCUAAACCUCCACUGCCAAGCUGCUGUUGAGUUUGUCUGUUUAAGUUUACUGAAUUUUCCAACCUCCCGGCACUUUCUAACAUUCUUCUCCUCCUCCCUGCCUUGUUCCUUGGUCUCUGUGAAGGAGGCAUGAGGUUGUAGUGCAGGGCUGUCAGGAAUCAUCGAGCAAGCUGUCUGACGUGACCGUAUGACUUCCAGUCACCCACCCCCACCCCUGUCUUCCUCCAUUUCUCAAGCCCCGGCCUUCCUUUCCCCAGCUUGUCUUUUCAGCUGCACACUCUUGAUAGGCAGUAUCUGAACAGUGACUUGAAAUAAAAAGUGCUUUUCACCCAAGGUGACUAUGACCUGACCUUCCUGCAUCCUUCCACUUUUGCAGUAUUUACUGUGCGUCACAAUUAAAUUGACGUGUUAUUUUGUAAAUGCUGAUUCGAUGAAAUAUAAAAAAGAGCUUGAAUGGACUCAGUAUCUCCUUCUUCCUUCAGUGUAGGCCAUUGUUGAUCUGUUCUCAGCUGCAUAAUAAACAAUCCUAUUGUAUUAAAUGGUAAAUGGCUUGCAUUUGUGUAGCGCUUCUAGGGUUCUUCACAACAAUCCAGUCAUUCACACACACACACACACACACACACACACACACACACACACACACACACACACACACACACACACACACACACACACACACACACACACACACACUCUGGUGGGGAUGAGCUAAGCACUGCCACAACUACCCUGGGGCUCACCAAAGGAAGGGAGGCUGCGCAACACUGGUACCACAGAUCUGAUCGACUACCAUCAGCAGGCAGCGUGGGUUAAGUGCCUUGCCCAAGGGCACAAUAACUGCGAUAGACUGAGCUGGACUUGAUCCCACAAACCUCUUUUCAGUUCAGCUCAGUUCAAUUCAAGUCGUCUCAAGGACCUUCACACAGGAAACAUCCCAAUACAGGUCAGUUCAUUAAGCCAGUCAGUAAAAAGUUUCCUGUAUAAGGAACCCAGCAGGUUGCAUCGAGUCAGUGACGUUACAGCAGUCCUCAUACUAAGCAAGCAUGCAGCGACAGUGGAGAGGAAAACUCCCUUUUAACAGGAAGAAACCUCCAGAGGAUCCUGGCUCAGUAUAAGCAGCCAUCCACCAUGACUCACUGGGGAUGGAGAAGACAGAGCAGACACACACACACACACACACACACACACACACACACACACACACACACACACACACACACACACACACACACACACACACGAAACAUAUAUACCAAGCAAUGUUUCUAUGGUUAUAUUGUGAUUUCUUAGCAAAUAUUCCAUGUGGUGAGAGAUAAACUUUAUUGUAUUGAUCCUAUUGAAUCUAUAAUUAAAUGAGUAAACUAGUAGUAGCACAUUCAAUGUCAAGGAAAGUAAAGUGUUAUUAUCAGGAGAGGGAGAAUGAUUAAGUGUUCAGGACGAUAGCCCCCUCCAUGAGGCUACCGCAGCUCAGCAGAACAUCAUUGUAACUUCUUCUGUGGAGAAAAACACUUAGAGAGAAAAUAAAGUUAACAGCUGAAAUAGCAGGAAAUAAUACAGUUAAAGAACAGAUUGUAGAAGAAAGUAGAGUGUGGAAAGUGGUCAGUGUGUCCUAGAGCAGUCUAAGCCUAUAGCAGCAUAACUACAGAGAUAACUCUGGAUAACCUAGCCUUUUAGAUGGAGGCAUGUUGGAGGCAGGGCAAGGGAGAGUUGUCUUUACCGACUGUACACUCCACCUCCCUCUACUCCCCCACUUGUCCAGAUCUAGGCUAACAUCAGAUUUUUAUUUACUUUGCCACCAUUCGCCAUAAGCACUUACAUGUGCUCUGCACCGCCCUGUUAUUUGCCUUUAGUGACAUUGUUUGAUUGCUGAAAUAACAUAUUUUGUUUGAUUUGUUGUGUUUGAAGUUGAUGUUUCAAAGUCAGGGUUGCCUAAUCUAUGAAGAAAUCUUUGUCCUACCCCUAAAUCUACUACAGCUGACUUUCCCCCUCGUUUUCUUUCAUCUUGGUCUUCGUUUUCUCCCUCUUCUGGUUGAUCUACACUCACCUGCUGUUUAGUUGGGUACACAUGUUCAUUGACUUGCUUUCUUUGCUCUAAAUUUUUGUCUCAAAGUUCAUUUCAUAAUCAUAACAAAGGAGAAGCAAUAUUUGGACAGCUACGACAACAAAAUAACGUUCCAAAAACUGGGAAUCUGUUAAGUUGACUCUACCUGUAACUGAGCUGUUGGUCCUCGGUACGACAGUUGUCCACUGAGCUAGGGCAACUAAAUCUGUUAAUGCUAAUAAUAUCCUAAACAAAGUAGGUGCAUUCUAUCAAAUGUCACAUCACAUUGUUUACCUUGCACAAAAACAGCCUAACAAGUCUGCGUGUAAAUAUGUUUGGUUCAUACAAAUAAUACACCUGAUCUCAAUGUCUGUUCACCAGCAAAACGCAUUAGUGUGGAGAAACUAAUGCAGCUUUGAAUGGAAAAUAUACAGGAUGCAAAAUGUUAUGCAAUGUUCAUUUAGAAACUGUAUGUAUUACACAAAAUAUACCCAAAAUGUAUUUGUUUGGGCGCUUCAGCCAGACUUACACCUUCAUCUGCAGUACUGUACUGUCCCGUUUUGCUUGCAUCUAAAUUUAGUGAGUUUCAAUGAAUGCCACAUGUUUGCACCAACUUGCAUGUGUUUAGCUAUAAUUAGAACAUCUGUUGUUUUAAUAGUUUUAACACGUUAACCGUAUGACAGUACUUUAUUUAAAAUCUGGAUUGUGUGUCUGGAAAAUGCUGCUCAGCACAUUUUCCCUGCAGGGAUCAUCUAAUAAUUCUGGUGCUGAUAGUAAUCUCCUCUCCUCUCACUUUUUCUCACGUAAUGUCACUCCUCAUUUCUCCUCGACUCGGCCUGUGAUUGAGUCAGUCAGACCUCAGAAUUGUGACAGCUACUCAUCCAAAAAAGCAUUUCGUGAAAGCUGAGAGUAUCAAGUUCACUGCACUGAAGUAUAAUUUGAGAUUACUUGUUUAUAUUAAUUCAGGCGGGAUGUAUUUUCUGUAUCAUGUUUCUGAUUUAAUGCACUCCGUGUGGUAUAUUUUGGGGUAGCGUGGUGGCACAGUUAGUAACACUGCAGCUUUCUACUUUGAGUAGGUAUGUUUUAUCCAUGCAUGUGUGGCUUUUCCUGGGGAACUCUGGCUUCUUCCCAAAGACCAAAAACUGCAUUUGUCUAUCCACAAUUAUUUAGCAUGAUAUUACUUAGGGUUGUGUAUUGGUGAAAUUUUGGCAAUAAAAUACGUUUCACGAUACAGGCGAGAUGACACAACAUAUCAUAAUAUAUUGCAAUACUUUCAGCCAGACGUUAUUAGAAAUUUUUUUAGACUGAAUUUAUUGAAGGAAAAUUCAAUAAGCAGUCCAAACCGAUACGUAACAUGUUUAACAUGAACCAUAAUAGAGGGAUUUACAUUUCAAUGGUGGAAACAAAACCCAUCGCACACUGCUGCUAACUAGCAGUCGACGUUUGAACUGCACCAAAAGAAAUGAAAAUACACAAAUAUUUGCAUGUAAAUUAUUCCCAAAAGUAAAUACAGAGCUUUUGAAUAUUGAUGUAAUAUCACAGGGAAAUUAUAAAGAUAUAUUACCAUAUUGAUAUUUUUGAUUAAUAGUUUUUGAUUAUCGAUAUUAUAUCGCUGGACAAAAGUAUCACGAUAUAUUGCCAUGUCGAUAUUUUCUUGCAUCCCUACUAUUACUAUCAAAUGUUUUUCACAAGCUUGAUUGUGGUGGAGGAUAGGGAGUGGAUAAAAUACUUUGUUUUGUUUUUGGAAUACUCUAAAAAGAGCUUCAACAUGUUUCACUUGAUAUGUACAAACACUUGCCUUUCAUUUGUGCGUCAGUAAAACAUGGCAUUCUACGGCUGCUGCCUUCCUGCACGGAGGUAAUGUUCUGUGUCAAAGGUCAGAUUUUUCCUCUGUAAAAGAAUGGAAUGCUGUCAGUGCCCAAACUCUUGGCCUCGAUGUGUGAGAACGUCUGUGACUGUGUGCAUAAGCUUGCAUUUUUAAAAGUAGGACUCUGCCAAUGAGGCUGCUCUGUUUUGUGGUUUUUGUUUUCUUUUUUUUUUUUUUGCGUGCGGGCUGUACACCCAUCUUUACAACCAGGAACACUUUAGUGUGUACCUCUGCGAGGGUGUUUGAUGGUAUGUUUACUUUUGCAUGGGCUCUGCUUCUCAUUGAGGUUCUGCAAGCUGCACCAUGCAGAGAUCAGAGGUGAAGUGUUGCAGGAAAUCUGCUGGCUCACUCAUCCUGCAGCUACUUUGCUUUAGGAUGGAACAUGAAAUUAAACACAGAACUGUCACACAAAGCUGCUGGAGUAACAUAAUUUAAAGUCCCAUUAUGAUUAUGUUUAUGUUUAUGUAUUUGGCAGACGCUUCUGUCCAAAGCGACUUACAAGUGAUAAUCGGCAUGUUGCCCUUGAGGCUAACGACAACAAUAACAUUAGUCAUCAUUACAUCUCCACAUUUGACCCAUCCCCCUGGGGAGCGGUGAGCUGCAGCAGUGGCUGCGCUCGUAAACUAUUUGGUGGUUUAAUCCACCAAUCCAAACCCUUAAAGCUGAGUGUCAAGCAGGGAGGCAUCGGGUCCCAUAUUUAAAGUCUUUGGUCAUGACCCGAAUUGGAUUUGUUGAAUAAAUGUCACUUAAAUAGUUUGUUUUACUGUUUGUGUCUAAUAAGGAUAGAAAUGAUGUGAGGUUUUUGCACGUGUUUACACUUAAUCCACACAUGCCUCUUGGCCAUUUGCAUCUUUUCUUAAAGAUAUGACAUGUAUACUCACAUGGUAUGGUAACAAAUAUAUAUUUCUGCUGUACACUCACAUUUUGUAAGCAUAUAUGCUUUACUCUCCUCUCAACAGCCACAUAAACCAACAUACACCAAGGGCUCUGAGUGACUGAGUGGAUUUGCAGCCUCCUCUGCUGUGAAAUACAAAUAGUUUUGCUGCUGUUGAACAAAUUUGACCUGGACAGCAGCCAGACAGAUCGUGGUUUUGUCUGGUACAUCUCAUGUGUCAACACCAAAUUUCUCCCAAACUGCUAAAUGGAAACACGCCUCAACCUGCGAGCUAGAUCUGCUUCUGCCACAGAGACACGCAAUAUGACAAACAGACAUAUCACAUGUUCUGUUUAAAUCUGCAUCAGGAUAUUAAUUCUGACCAGCUUUGUUUAAAGGAAGCUAAAAGAAAGCCCUCUUGAUACUGAUGAGCACAUCACAGCAUGUGCAUGAUUGUUUUGUAAAACGUUUGUUUUUUAGAAGAAUUUCAGAUGAGUCAGAACUUUAAUGGCAAGAAAUUCUAACCAAACCAACAAUGAUCCUCUAAGAGGAGCUUAAUGUGUGGCAAAUACUUCAUUCUGACACUAAAUCUAGUUUCGUGUUGAACAAUGUUCAGCUAUUCUAUGAAAAAGUAAAAUCAUUGCCAUCACUGCUAUUUGUUCAUCACAGAGUUGAAGUCUGCAGGUAUUAAGGACACAAGAAGCAAAAACCAACAAGAUCAAUAAUUCACACAAUGAUAAAGGAUGAAAGGAGAUAGUAGUUAGUUGUUACCUAAACAAUGGAAAAGCACAACAACCGAGUUCCUCUUAUAUAGAAUAAGGAUGAAGUAUUUGUCAAAUUUUCUAAAUAAAAGAAGAUUUAGCACAAUUUAGUGUAUUUGUUGCAAACUGCUCUCAGCUAUCACAAAACCAAAGAGGAGCUUUAUAUUUGUUGAACUUAAUAAGUUACAGCCAAUUUUAUAUUUUUGAAGUCCUUUGUGACUGCAUUGUUGAUUCUUUUUUAAAACACAGAAACGGUUUCUUUUUUACCUUGCUGCUGACAGUUUCGUUCGUGGCUGCAAACUUCCUCAGAGCUGGCGCUAAUGGUGGUGUCACUUCCUACUCCGUUUAUCUGUGGGCAGCAGAGGACGUUGUCGCCCUCUGCUGCCCGCUCUCUCCUCUCCGAUAAUGCAGUCCCAUGUGUGAUCCAAUGAGUAAACUCCAUUGUCUCUGUUCAUAGAUCAUAAAAAGGAAUUACAAACUAGAUGAAAAAACGGAGGAACAAAUUCAAGGACACAUGAUGGAACAACAGGAAAAAGAGUUCAUAAAAGUAAAAGAAAGACACAUAAAGAAGUUAAACAGACUCAUCAACAAGAAAAAGAGAAAAGAGAAACAAGAUAACACCACACAAAGUACAUGGGUAUGUAACCUUUCACAAUACGAACUAACAGAAGCAGAAGAAAGCAUAUUAAAAAGGGUUUCAACUUUGCAGCAACACCAAAGAAAAUACCAUUUGAUGAAUUUAUUGUAGCAACAGAACUAGCAUGUCAACAGAUCAUAGAUGAGGGAAAGAAAGCAGAACUCAGAAAUAAUGUAGAUGGGAUAUUAAAGAACUGCAAAAUACGACACCGCAAUAUAACAAAAGAAGAACAAUCAGCCAUGACAGCUUUAUCCAAAAAUGGACAGAUAAUUAUUCUACCGGCAGACAAAGGAAGAACCACAGUAGUACUGGACAAAGAAAAAUAUAAACAACAGAUGAAACAGAUGCUAGAGGACAAAAAUACAUACAAAAUACUUAAAAAAGACCCAACAGAAAGCAUUAAGAAAAACAUGAAAAAAUUACUGAAGCCGUCGUCUUCCUCCGCUUGUCCAGGUCGCGGGGGCAGCAUCCCAACUAGGGAGCUCCAGACUGUCCUCUCCCUGGCCUCCUCCGGCAGGACCCCAAGGCGUUCCCGGACCAGAUUGGAGAUGUAACUUCUCCAACGUGUCCUGGGUCGACCCGGGGGCCUCCUGCCGGCAGGACAUGCCCGAAACACCUCCCCUGGGAGGCGUUCAGGAGGCAUCCUGACCAGAUGCCCAAACCACCUCAACUGGCUCCUUUAGAUCCGGAGGAGCAGCGCUUCUACUCCGAGUCCCUCCCGAAUGUCCGAGCUCCUCACCCUAUCUCUAAGGCUGAGCCCACCUACCCUACGGAGGAAACUCUUUUCAGCCGCUUGUAUCCGCGAUCUCGUACUUUCGGUCAUUACCCAGAGCUCAGGACCAUAGGUAAGGAUUGGGACGUAGAUCGACCGGUAAAUCGAGAGCCUGGCUUUCUGGCUCAGCUCCCUCUUCACCAUGACAGAUCGGCUCAGGGUCCGCAUCACUGCAGACUAGAGCUGAAACAACUAAUCGAUUUAAUCGAUUAUAAUCGAUUAUUCAAAUAGUUAACAACUUUUUUAGUCAUCGAUUAGUUGUUUAAUAAUAAUAUUUUACCGCAUAAAGUCUAUUUUUACCACAAUCUGACAUCGGUUACAAUCUGUUAAAUUUGCCUCCAGUGUGUGGCAGUAAUGAGCCACUGAUCUACCAGUGGAGCCGUAGAAGAAGAAAUGAGCCAAUGAGUGCCCUCGGUUUUCAUGACGUAUCACGUUACUGACGCUCAUCUUGCUGUGAGAGAUGGCAAAACAAGAAGAAAUACGGAAGAAAAAUAGAAGCGACAAAACUGAAGAGAAACCCCGGACUUCACUCUAGAUGCCUUGAAAAGACGGGUGACCUGCAAAAUAUGCAAAAACCAUCUAGCAUGGCACGGAAGCACGACGUCCCUAAGUGAACAUUUGAGAUGAAAACAUGUGGGGGCUGAUGCAGCAGAGGAAGAGCACCGCGGUCAAGUGAGCCGUCAUUUGGAAGAGCCAGCCCGAAAAAAACAAGCAACGAUGGACAACUACAUGGGGAACAAGACACUCACCCCCAGCAAUUCAUACCACUUACAAACUCUAUUCUAAACAUGCUGGUAAAAGACAUGAGGCCACUACCCAUGGUGGAAGGAGCAGGCUUCCAGCUAAUGCAAAAAAAUUAUUCUGGACUGAUAUUUUGCACUGUUUAGCUCAUUUUAUACUGCUGACUGUUCAUGUGCAAUAAAAUAGAUUGCAGUCAACUGCACACUUUUCUUAUAUUUUUUUUCUUAACUGAAAUGCAUCCAUCACUUGUAUAGGUUAAAUAGCUAAACAAUAACGAACCGAUUAAUCGA